GACGAACGCUGGCGGCGUGCUUAACACAUGCAAGUGGAGCGACGAACCGGGCUUCGGCCCGGGGCAGAGCCGCGAACGGGUGAGUAACACGUGGGUUAUCUGCCCAGUUGACAGGGACAACCCGGGGAAACCAGGGCUAAUACCUGAUGUGCCCUUCGGGGGAAAGGAAGCUUCGGCCUCCGCAACUGGAUGAGCACGCGGCCCAUUAGCUUGUUGGUGGGGUAAUGGCCUACCAAGGCUGCGAUGGGUAGCUGGUCUGAGAGGACGAUCAGCCACACUGGGACUGAGACACGGCCCAGACUCCUACGGGAGGCAGCAGUGGGGAAUCUUGCGCAGUGCGCGAAAGCGUGACGCAGCAACGCCGCGUGAGGGAAGACGGCCUUCGGGUUGUAAACCUCUUUCAGUUGGGACGAAGGUCGAGCGGUGAAUAGCCGCUUCGACUGACGGUACCUUCAGAAGAAGCCCCGGCUAACUACGUGCCAGCCGCCGCAGUAACAC
rnacentral:rRNA from 1 species